AGUAGUACAAGUGUAGUUUCAAAAUGGUAUUUGUUGUAGAAGCACGGUAAAAAACAACACUUACCAUGCUUUUUACCACAGUAUUGGUAGUUUUAAUGUGAUUUUUGUUGUAAAUACAGAGUAACCACAACACUUAUCAUGCUUUUAAUGCCUAAUAAUGUUAAAUCCAAAAACUGUAAGGUCAAUAAGAACUUCUUUCCUAUAUAUAUUUAUAUAUAAACCUAUAUAUUAUAAAUAAUGAUAUUUUCUUUUCUCUUGUUUUAGCUGAAAAGACAAAAAGGGCCUUUUGGAAAUGGAUGAAGGAGACAGAAAGCUGCAAAGGCAAAUAAUUGCAAUGGAUUACUUGCAGAUUACUUAGUCCUUCUUUUUAGGAUCUCUACAACAUCAAACUCAACAGCUCUUUUAAGAGCCGACCCUCACAAGAGCUACUAGUGAGUCGCUGCAAACCUGCCAUGAUCAGCCCUUUCCAGAGAAGGAAGACCAGUCCUUAUAUUAAAACAAGCUCAUCGAAGUCCUUUGUUUAGGGUGAGGAAGGAACAUGACCAUCUCAUGCCCAAAGAAGACAGAAGUCCAUUGAUAGCAAGUGAAGUCACUAACAGAAGAUCCUAGAGGAAAAACGACUGAUGUGCAGCCACGGAGGAACACAAGAGGCAGAAAUAUGCAUGGCCAUGGCUUCUUCAUGAGUACAACCAGGACUGAAGAACGCCUGACAAUGGGAUGUUAAGACUUCUUCCUCUGGUUGAGAAAAAGCUACAGCACAUCAGUGAUCACAUCUUCUGGUCAUCAGUUGUACUGUAGAGUACAACUGAACAAACUGUUUAGAAGAAGAAGAACAUGAACAUGAUAGAGACAUGUACAGGGAAGAGCAAGAACCCAGUUCAGCUGUGAUAAUGAAUCUUUAUUUUAAACUCAAUAUCAAAUCUGUUUUCUGGAUCAUAGUUGACUGGAUGGGAUUCUGUGGCGCUCAUUUGUGCAAUAGGAGUAAAGUCUGUGAAUGGAUUAUUAUGACGUUAACGUAUUUUUGAAGACACGUUUUUAUUUAUCUUGAAUCUCAUUUGUCUUUAUGCAAAUUUCAACCUUAUGCUGUAUCCUCCAAUAAAGUGUUGUGUAAUAAA